UGCCUCAUGGGGCAGCUCAGAGCUCUGUGUCUAUGAAGGGAGGUUAUGUUUCCUUCUCCGGUGGACCUUCCCAGACCCUCAGGUGAGCUCCAGACUCCACAAGGACACCCCUGAAGUGACGGACCUCUCUCCUUACUUCAUUGAGUGAUCUGCAUUUCGCUCAGAAUUGUGAAGGGAGCAGAUGGAACAGGGCUCUCAGGAGCAAGCGCCUAUACUCUCUUGGCAACUUUCCUCGAUGUCCGGUGUCCACGCCCCUCCUAGCUUUGAGCAUCGCUGUCUACUCGUCCUUGAGAGCGUCAGCAAGAAGGAGAUUACUCUGCCGUUUUCAACCAUCCCUCAUCCCAAUCUUACCAUACUUAUCCUAGACUGGGUCUUCCAGGACCAGAUCUGUGUCUGAUUCACCUCUGUGUUCCCAAAAUU
rnacentral:lncRNA from 1 species